rnacentral:rRNA from 1 species
AUUGAACGCUGGCGGCAUGCCUUACACAUGCAAGUCGAACGGUAACAGGUCUUCGGAUGCUGACGAGUGGCGAACGGGUGAGUAAUACAUCGGAACGUGCCUAGUAGUGGGGGAUAACUACUCGAAAGAGUGGCUAAUACCGCAUGAGAUCUACGGAUGAAAGCAGGGGAUCGCAAGACCUUGUGCUACUAGAGCGGCCGAUGGCAGAUUAGGUAGUUGGUGGGAUAAAAGCUUACCAAGCCGACGAUCUGUAGCUGGUCUGAGAGGACGAUCGGCCACACUGGGACUGAGACACGGCCCGGACGCCUACGGGAGGCAGCAGUGGUGAAUUUUGGACAAUGGGCGCAAGCCUGAUCCAGCAAUGCCGCGUGCAGGAUGAAGGCCUUCGGGUUGUAAACUGCUUUUGUACGGAACGAAAAGCCCCGGGUUAAUACCCUGGGGUCAUGACGGUACCGUAAGAAUAAGCACCGGCUAACUACGUGCCAGCAGCCGCCGUAA